ACCUACGGGACGCAGCAGUGAGGAAUAUUGGUCAAUGGGCGGGAGCCUGAACCAGCCAAGCCGCGUGAGGGAAGAAGGUACAGCGUAUCGUAAACCUCUUUUGUCAGGGAACAAAGGCGGGGACUAGUCCCCGGAUGAGGGUACCUGAAGAAAAAGCAUCGGCUAACUCCGUGCCAGCAGCCGCGGUAAUACGGAGGAUGCGAGCGUUAUCCGGAUUUAUUGGGUUUAAAGGGUGCGCAGGCGGCCUGUUAAGUCAGCGGUAAAAGCCCGGGGCUCAACCCCGGCGCGCCGUUGAAACUGGCGGG
rnacentral:rRNA from 1 species